rnacentral:rRNA from 1 species
GAUGAACGCUGGCGGCGUGCUUAACACAUGCAAGUCGAACGGUGAAGGCGGAGCUUGCUCUGCUGGAUCAGUGGCGAACGGGUGAGUAACACGUGAGCAAUCUGCCCCUGACUCUGGGAUAAGCGCUGGAAACGGCGUCUAAUACUGGAUACGAGCUGCGAAGGCAUCUUCAGCAGCUGGAAAGAAUUUCGGUCAGGGAUGAGCUCGCGGCCUAUCAGCUUGUUGGUGAGGUAAUGGCUCACCAAGGCGUCGACGGGUAGCCGGCCUGAGAGGGUGACCGGCCACACUGGGACUGAGACACGGCCCAGAAUCCUACGGGAGGCAGCAGUGGGGAAUAUUGCACAAUGGGCGAAAGCCUGAUGCAGCAACGCCGCGUGAGGGAAGACGGCCUUCGGGUUGUAAACCUCUUUUAGCAGGGAAGAAGCGAAAGUGACGGUACCUGCAGAGAAAGCGCCGGCUAACUACGUG